rnacentral:rRNA from 1 species
UACGAAGGGUGCAAACGUUGCUCGGAAUUAUUGGGCGUAAAGCGCACGUAGGCGGCUUAGCAAGUCGGAAGUGAAAGCCCUCGGCUCAACCAAGGAAGUGCUUUCGAAACUGCUGAGCUUGAGUACUUAAGAGGAUCGCGGAAUUCCCGGUGUAGAGGUGAAAUUCGUAGAUAUCGGGAGGAACACCAGUGGCGAAGGCGGCUCACUGGCUCAUUACUGACGCUCGAGGCGCGAUAGCGUGGGAUCAAACAGG